rnacentral:rRNA from 1 species
AUACGGAGGAUGCAAGCGUUAUCCGGAUUUAUUGGGUUUAAAGGGUGCGUAGGCGGUUUGCUAAGCGGGAGGUGAAAUGCCGGCGCUCAACGUCGGAAGUGCCUCCCGAACUGGUGGACUUGAAUGACUCUGCCGUGGGAGGAAUGUGUAGUGUAGCGGUGAAAUGCUUAGAGAUUACACAGAACACCGAUUGCGAAGGCAUCUCACGAAGGGUUGAUUGACGCUGAGGCACGAAAGCGUGGGGAUCAAAUAGGAUUAGAUACCCUGGUAGUCCACGCAGUAAACGAUGAUGGCUAACCGCUGGGCUUAUCAGUUCAGUGGCCAAGCGAAAGCGAUAAGCCAUCCACCUGGGGAGUACGACCGCAAGGUUGAAACUCAAAGGAAUUGACGGGG